GAUGAACGCUGGCGGCGUGCCUAAUACAUGCAAGUCGAGCGAACGGACGAGAAGCUUGCUUCUCUGGUGUUAGCGGCGGACGGGUGAGUAACACGUGGAUAACCUACCUAUAAGACUGGGAUAACUUCGGGAAACCGGAGCUAAUACCGGAUGAUAUUUUGAACCGCAUGGUUCAAAAGUGAAAGACGGUCUUGCUGUCACUUAUAGAUGGAUCCGCGCUGCAUUAGCUAGUUGGUAAGGUAACGGCUUACCAAGGCAACGAUGCAUAGCCGACCUGAGAGGGUGAUCGGCCACACUGGAACUGAGACACGGUCCAGACUCCUACGGGAGGCAGCAGUAGGGAAUCUUCCGCAAUGGGCGAAAGCCUGACGGAGCAACGCCGCGUGAGUGAUGAAGGUCUUCGGAUCGUAAAACUCUGUUAUUAGGGAAGAACAUAUGUGUAAGUAACUGUGCACAUCUUGAUGGUACCUAAUCAGAAAGCCACGGCUAACUACGUG
rnacentral:rRNA from 1 species